rnacentral:tRNA from 1 species
AAAUUUAGGAUAGAUAAACCAAGAACCUUCAAAGUUCUAAACAGAAGAAAACCUUCUAAUUUCUG